UGAAUACGAGAUGCUACGGCGUCGAAGCAGUGUAUGUCAGACUUCCAAGAAAAGCUCGCUAUGUCAAAAUAAAUAAUGCCUGUACCAUAACCGACACAGGUGGGUAGGUAGAGUAUACUAAGGGGCGCGAGAUAACUCUCUCUAAGGAACUCGGCAAAAUGACUCCGUAACUUCGGGAGAAGGAGUGCCUUAUUUAUAAGGUUGCAAUAACAAGAUCCAAGCAACUGUUUAUCAAAAACACAGGUCUCCGCUAAGUCGUAAGACGAUGUAUGGGGGCUGACGCCUGCCCAGUGCCAGAAGGUUAAAGAAGUUGGUUAGUGUAUGCGAAGCUGAUGACUGAAGCCCUGGUGAACGGCGGCCGUAACAAUAACGGUCCUAAGGUAGCGAAAUUCCUUGUCGGGUAAGUUCCGACCCGCACGAAAGGCGUAAUGAUUUGGAUACUGUCUCGGAGAGAGGCUCGGUGAAAUAGACUUGUCUGUGAAGAUGCGGACUACCUGCACCAGGACAGAAAGACCCUAUGAAGCUUUACUGUAACUUGAAAUUGGAAUUGGACUUUGCUUGCGCAGUAUAGGUGGGAAGCGUUGAAGAUAUUCUUGCGGGAGUAUUGGAGCUAUCAGUGAGAUACCACUCUUGUAAUGUUAGAUUUCUAACUUUGAACCAUAAUCUGGUCAAAGAACAGUUUCAGGUGGGCAGUUUGACUGGGGCGGUCGCCUCCCAAAUGGUAACGGAGGCGUACAAAGGUUUCCUCUGAACGGAUAGAAAUCGUAUCUAGAGUGUAAAGGCAUAAGGAAGCUUGACUGUGAGACCUACAAGUCGAGCAGGGACGAAAGUCGGUCUUAGUGAUCUGACGGUACUGAGUGGAAAGGCCGUCACUCAACGGAUAAAAGUUACUCUAAGGAUAACAGGCUGAUCUCCCCCAAGAGUUCACAUCGACGGGGAGGUUUGGCACCUCGAUGUCGGCUCAUCGCAUCCUGGGGCGGUAGUACGUCCCAAGGGUUGGGCUGUUCGCCCAUGAAAGCGGUACGCGAGCUGGGUUCAGAACGUCGUGAGACAGUUCGGUCCAUAUCCGGUGUAGGCGUUAGAAUAUUGAGAGGAGCCUUCUUUAGUACGAGAGGACCGAGAAGGACACACCGCUGGUGUACCAGUUAUCGUGCCAACGGUAAACGCUGGGUAGCUAUGUGUGGAGUGGAUAACCGCUGAAAGCAUCUAAGUGGGAAGCCCACCUCAAGAUGAGUAUUCUCAUA
rnacentral:rRNA from 1 species